rnacentral:lncRNA from 1 species
AAAAUACUCACUGAGCCACAGGUUGCAUCACCAGCGGAAGGAUGGAUUUGGAGACACAGCCCAUGAGGCCAGGAAGGCAUUGUUUAGGGUACAAUGUCCCUUUAAAUUCCUCCUCGGUUCUGCUUCUGUCCUUGGAGGCUGUGAUAUGCCCCUCUUGAGCACAACUGGGAAGUCAUGGUAGGAGGGGUCUCUCAAAUGCCACCUGCCACAUUUCACAGGGACUUAGGGUGGCUGAUGAGCUCCGCAGCUCAUCCUUAAUUAGGAAAGCCGCUAAGACGCGGCCAGAGCACCCUGCAUGCCAGCGCGAGCUGCUUGGGUUGAUUGAUGCUUGUUUUGUGAUUCCUUCCGUCAGCUUUCUCUGGUCCAGCCAUCUGUUUUCUCCCCAACAAGAGGCAUGCUGGCUCCAAUCCUUGCCUGAUUUGCAGUGGAGAUGACUUCAUGCAUCAGUCUGAGGACGUUGCCGGAGUCGGCAGAGGAGGAGGACUCUCAGCCGCAGUGGAAAGUGCAGGAAGGGCUCAUCAGUGCUGGGCAGGGCAGCUGGGUCCGCCUGAGUGGAGGAGCUGGGCUGGCUGCAGAGCCUGGAGCCGUGGGAGGCGGCCGGGCAGGGCAGGCCCAGGAGCUGUGGUCACCAGCGUGGCGAGCUCUAGCUCCAUUCAGUGGUAUCCAGCGUACGCAGAGGAGAGUCCAGCUCUUCAGAUGCCGGGGAUGGCUGACAGUGGCACAAAUCCAGCCAAAACUCAUGUGGGAGGCAGCAAACGACUUCAGGGCUCGUGUGGAUUGAGGACACCAAGCUCCCAGGUCAAGGAAGACACCCUGAAAGGAGGAGUGAGAUGCGGAGGGUGCUGGCAGGAGCUGUCACUCUGAAUGGAACUGCUUCAAAAAGCUGACAAUAGGAAAAAAAAAAUUGCUAAGUGAGGCUCCAAGAUCAAAACUUACAAGUCAAGUAAAAACCUGC